GACAUGAUGGUGCAGUGGUUAGCAUACUGGUCUUGGUAUGAAGAGGUUUUAAGUUUGAAUCCUGGAUGUGGCU